UGGGGAAUAUUGGACAAUGGGGGGAACCCUGAUCCAGCCAUGCCGCGUGUGUGAAGAAGGCCUUAUGGUUGUAAAGCACUUUAAGCGAGGAGGAGGGUACUGGUAUUAAUACUACCAGCUACUGGACGUUACUCGCAGAAUAAGCACCGGCUAACUCUGUGCCAGCAGCCGCGGUAAUACUGAGGGUGCGAGCGUUAAUCGGAUUUACUGGGCGUAAAGCGUGCGUAGGCGGCUAAUUGAGUCGGAUGUGAAAUCCCCGAGCUUAACUUGGGAAUUGCAUUCGAUACUGGUUAGCUAGAGUGUGGGAGAGGAUGGUAGAAUUCCAGGUGUAGCGGUGAAAUGCGUAGAGAUCUGGAGGAAUACCGAUGGCGAAGGCAGCCAUCUGGCCUAACACUGACGCUGAGGUACGAAAGCAUGGGGAGCAAACAGG
rnacentral:rRNA from 1 species